GACUAAGUAGCUCAGCAGGUAGAGCACAUCCCUUUUAAGGAUGGGGUCCUGGGUUCGAAUCCCAGCUUAGUCACCA
rnacentral:tRNA from 1 species